UGUAACGAUAGAUAUCACGAAGGCCGUGUAAAUGUCACAUAUAUGCAUAAUAUACAAUGCUUAAUAUAUUUUGUGAAUGCAACAUUAAACAUACACAUAUAUAUAUUUUUUUAUAAAUAUUGAGUCGUUUCAUCGUUUUCAAGUGUCAAAGCCCAAAGGUAAUUAAUUUAAUUUAUAAAAAUGUAAUGUUUUCGAUGGUUAGCGGUGUAAAUCAAUUUCAAUUAAUGUGUGCAUAUCAACCUUGUAAGACGGAAAGAGCAUUUUUUUGUGGAAAAUUUGUUUUUCAAGAGAUCGUUGUGGAUUAAACCAUACAGCGUUAUAAAUUAUCUAUUACGACUAUACAAUCAAACGCCCUCGAACACCGAAUGGAUUAAUAUGACCCAAUCCGAACUCGUGCCAACUUUCGAUCUUCACCAUAGUUGGACGAGACUUGCGAGUACGAGUGGCAUACGGCGUUGGCUAGUAAACCCAGGAAUUGAAAAUUGGGAGAAGUGUAAUUUAUGUGACUAAGACUUUGUCGCACAAACAUCUCUGUAUCAGCUUAUUAUACUUGAUAUAAGGAAACAUGUGGAUACGUAAGAUAUACGCUGUGUUAAGAAACAUAAUUCAACCGACGACAAGUUUGUUCACAGUGACUGCCCGCACCUGUUAAGUGGUUAGUGCCAUUAAAUAUGCAAAUCACAACACUUUAAAUUCCCCCUCCGCCAUUGUAUCUGAAAAAAGUUAUCACUGUUUUUAGUUUUACCUUUUAAAUAAUAUAACAUUAUUAUUGAAACAUCAGGUUUCUCAAUGUUAAAAAAUAAAAUUCUUAAUCAACCUUUUUGUUUUUAUUUUAAGUAUAAGUAAGUUUGUAUGUUUACUUACAGUAUAUUGUUAUUUAUAUAAGUGAAGAAGUUUAAAAUAAAUACUGCAGCAAGUCUAAAGAAAUCUAUAACGUAAGUAGGUAAUCAUUAUUUUUUUUUUUUACACAGUA